AAGAUAAUAUAUUUCAUUAUAUAUAGUUUCGGCCUAUAAAAUUUUUUCUUU
rnacentral:tRNA from 1 species